GAUGAACGCUGGCGGCGUGCCUAAUACAUGCAAGUCGAGCGAACGGACGAGAAGCUUGCUUCUCUGAGGUUGGCGGCGGACGGGUGAGUAACUUGUGGAUAACCUACCUAUAAGACUGGGGUAACUUCGGGGAACCGGAGCUAAUACCGGAUAAUAUUUUGAACCGCAUGGGUCAAACGUGUAAGACGGUAUUGCUGUCACUUAUAGAUGGACCCGCGCUUCAUUAGCUAGUUGGUAAGGUAACGGCUUAACAAGCCAACGAUCGAUAGCCGACCUGAGAGGGUGAUCGUGCACACGGUAACUGAGACUCGGUCCACACAUCUGCAGGAGGCAGCAGCAGGGAAUCUUCCGCAAUGCGCGAAUGCCUGACGGAGCCCCACCGCGUGAGGCAUGACGGUCCGCUGACCGUUGAACGCUGUUAUUAGUGAAGAUGAUAUGUUUUAUCAACUGUGACCAUCGUGACGGUACCUGAUCAGAAAGCCCCGGCUAACUUCGUG
rnacentral:rRNA from 1 species